rnacentral:lncRNA from 1 species
AUUCCUGAAUCUGAAGCCCUCAUUACAGGUCAAUAGAGAAAAAGAAUGUUCCAGAGCCUUCUUCAGCCUGGAAGCUUCUGGCAGGUUCCAGUCACUCUGUGGGCAGUACCAGCUGCAAUCUUGCCACCAGGCCCCACCCACUCUGCACUGCACCACCCCUGGCAUCCCACAGCCUCUGCAGGGGGCACCCCAGGCACCUCCAGGCCACUGGCCCCUGCAUCUUCCGGACCAGUAGAACCAAAUUUCUGUUCCGUGUACUUCUGUUCCGUGUCCCGUUUCCUUGUUCUGGUUACAUGCAUGUCACAAAGUUAUAUCUGUGGCAGCUAGCUGUGUAGCCUGGGGCUGAAUUAAUAAGGAGUACAUUGUAGAAUCAAGUUAAUGACUGCAACUCUAAGACAGGUGGCUUGGGAGUCAGACAGAACCAAGUUCAAAUCCUGACUUAUUCGCUCUGUGUCUUUAGGCAGUGACUCCUCAGACCCUCCGUGCCCUCUGCUCACCCUUCCUCCUGUCUCACCCCUCUGCGGUUCACAGCCCCUCUUCCCUCAGGCCCCUCUUGUUCACACUUAUCUCCUGUUCAUGUGCCCCUCUCCUCCUUCGACCCCACUCCCAGGCCACACGCCUCUCACGCCCACACCUAGGGCAGGUUCCCCACUGUCUCCAGAUUGAUACUGGUCAGUUACCUCAGG